rnacentral:rRNA from 1 species
UACGUAGGGAGCAAGCGUUGUCCGGAAUCAUUUGGGCGUAAAGCGCGCGUAGACGCCUCAUAAGUCCGUUGUGAAAGUCAAAGGCUCAACCUUUGAAAGCCGAUGGAUACUGUGAGGCUAGAGUUCGGAAGAGGCGAGUGGAAUUCCUGGUGUAGCGGUGGAAUGCGCAGAUAUCAGGAGGAACACCAAUAGCGAAGGCAGCUCGCUGGGACGAUACUGACGCUAAGGCGCGAAAGCGUGGGGAGCGAACAGG